GAUGAACGCUGGCGGCGUGCCUAAUACAUGCAAGUCGAGCGAACGGACGAGAAGCUUGCUUCUCUGAUGUUAGCGGCGGACGGGUGAGUAACACGUGGAUAACCUACCUAUAAGACUGGGAUAACUUCGGGAAACCGGAGCUAAUACCGGAUAAUAUUUUGAACCGCAUGGUUCAAAAGUGAAAGACGGUCUUGCUGUCACUUAUAGAUGGAUCCGCGCUGCAUUAGCUAGUUGGUAAGGUAACGGCUUACCAAGGCAACGAUGCAUAGCCGACCUGAGAGGGUGAUAGGCCACACUGGAACUGAGACACGGUCCAGACUCCUACGAGAGGCAGCAGAAGGGAAUCUUCCGCAAAGGGCGAAAGCCUGACGGAGCAACGCCGCGUGAGUGAUGAAGGUCUUCGGAUCGUAAAACUCUCUUAUUAGGGAAGAACAUAUGUGUAAGUAACUGUGCACAUCUUGACGGUACCUAAUCAGAAAGCAACGGCUAACUACGUG
rnacentral:rRNA from 1 species